GUUCAAUCAUUAUCCACAAUAUAAAUAGUAGGUUUGCAAAAGGGGCUGCAGUUUCUAGUGUGGACAAAGGGAGAACCACGAGUAGGGUGUAGGAUGAGAUGUUGAGGGAGUAAGAGUUAAGGAUAUAGAGUUAUUAGAUCUGAGGAAGGGUGAAACAGAAAUCAAAAGAAGUUGGAUAGUAGUAGAAGAAAAGAGAGAAAGUGAUUUGAGGAGACAUGUAGGUGGAAAGACAGUAGAGAGAACAAAAAACAAGCUUAAAAAUGUAGAAAUAGGAGAUAAAAGAAUACAACACAACUGUGGUAUACUAUUGACACCUCCCAGACCUCAGUAGCCUAAUCCAUGAGAAUUUCUUGGUUUUAAAAAUGUUGGGGAUGUGAGGUUGGACGAAUAGGGAGAGAGAGAAGAGAAAAAGAAUAUCAAAGGAAGAUACAAGGAUUGUUUUUGAUGGGUUGUUUUUGUUUGUUGUUGACUUACACACCUCACCAAAAAAUAAAAAACCUUUAAUAACCUAAUUUAAAUAUGGUAAAAUACUUAGAUUCUGCCCUAAAAAUUAAACAAGUGUGUAAAGACAUAUAAAAGCAACUCAAGGUCACUUACUAGGCUAAAUAAAAUGAUAAUUUAGCUUUUCUGCUUCAUUUGUCUCACAGUAUUAUGGGUGCACAGUCUCCAACAUGCACAGGGCAUCCUGAGACAUUGCUCAAUUCACAAAAUGCCAGGUUCUCAUUUCCCCACAUUAUGCUUGCUCAUCACUCCAUCUUAAUUGCCAAGAAAGUCUCAAGCCUGGACAACAACCAAAUAUAGAUAAAUUGCUAGAUAAUCAUGAACUUUGAAAAUUACCUCAGGAAUCAAGAGAAUACAUUAG
rnacentral:lncRNA from 1 species